GUUUUGGUUUGCAGAAUCUUUGUGUGACGGCGGCACAUCUUCCUAUCCGAGAGAUUCUGGAAAAAGAAAAGAAGGAGAGGAGUGUGGCUGAAGCGGAAAACCGACCAAUGCCUAAGUUAUAUAGCAGUACAGACAUAAGACCCUUGACGAUGAAUGACUUCAAGGCCGCACAUGAUCAGGUAUGUGCGAGUGUGUCGUCUGAUUCAUCGAACAUGAACGAGCUUCAGCAGUGGAACGAGCUGUAUGGAGAAGGAGGGUCGAGGAAGAAGACAUCACUGAGCUACUUCAUGUAAAAAGAGAGAAAGAGAAAACAGAGAGAGAUCGUGUUUUCAUCUGUUUAUGAAUAAUGUUUAUACAUCUCUCUUUUGAUCUUUAGUUCUUAAGUUUAUAUAGAAUUUAUGUACAGAGAGAGAGUCCCUCUUGAAUUGUCUAAUAUGGGGUUUUGUUGGUUCUCGAUUCUUUUCUUCCAUCUCCAAAAAUAUUCAGAAACAUCAUUAAUACAGAUGAGAUGUACAAUAUCUAUUUUACAUU